UCUUCCUUUCUUCUUCUCUUAUGUAGAUUUUCUCAUUUAUUUCUUCUUCAUUAUCAACCUUGUUCUUCAUUUUCUUCUUAUUUAAGAGCUAAUAAGGUUUUCUCCUUCAUUUUGUUUCCCUUCAUCUUCUUCAUUGGUCAUAUUUUCUUGUCAAAAAGAGGAAGAAUGUGUUUUGCAAAUAUAGAAAUAUUAUCCACGCGGAAUUAACUUUUAACCUAACAAUUAUUUCUGCCACGGUGAAAUUAUUUAUCAACCUGGAGUGCCACGCAGGGGCGGAUCUAAGUAGAGCCCAGGGUGUUCAUUUGAACCCCCUUCGUCGGAAAAUUACACUAAUCAUAUAACGUCAAAUUUUUAUGGCUGAAGUGGUGAAAACACCCCUAAACUUGGCACGAAUUAUUACUUUAGUCCCCAAACUAUUUCCACACUUAAAAACACCCCUAAUAUUGGCAAACUGAAUUUAAAUCACCCCAUGUUGCCAUAUGGCACAGCAAGAAAAUGCCAAGUGGACAGCGCGUGGAUUCACGUUGUUGAGGUGUCCUAACACGGAGGGUGAAUUUAUAUUGAGUUGACCAAGAUUAGGGGUGUUUUAAAGAGGGUCAAUAGUUCAGGACUAAAGUACAAAAACGUACCAAGUUGAGAGGUAUUUUUCACCACUUCAGCUAAUUUUUUAUUUAUGUGUAUAUAUUAAGUGUUGAACACGCUUAAUAUAAACUAAAGAUGUAGCUUGGUGGCGAAGGGGUUCAGAUUCGCGUAGAGUGCGCGGGUUCUCAAACCUGCCUUACAACAUUUUUAGCUUCAGGCGUUUCAAUCUUUUAAAAAAUAAAUAAAGAGAAAACGUUGUCGUGCGUUAUAAAGGGCACAGAUCUAAUUGGGUUUGGAUUUAAAUCCAAAAAAUCUAAGUCAAAUAAUUAAAAAAACCUCUCCGUAUUCCUGAUCUCUGUCAGGCUUAUUUUUUUCCUCUGCUCUGUCCAUCGCUGCUCGUCGACUCGGCCAUCGUUGCUGCCUGCUCAUCGGCCGUCACCCUCGUCCCUCUGUUAUCAUCUCUCCGGUCGCCGUCUCUCAUGACUUCCUCUUAGGUGGGAUGAGAAGUUUGUGUUGGCGCUUCACAGAUAGCAGGAAGAUGAGGGAAGAGAAAGGAGGAUUGCAGAAGAAUGUGACAGAGUGAAGUUUAACCUGAUAAAAUUGGCAAUAAUAGCUACAACACUGAUAUAUAGACUUGGGGGGAAGGGAGGGAGAGCGAUGGUUACUGGACUUGCUUUAAGGUAAGAAUGAAAAUGUUGAGUUUCCUUUGGAGAAGGAGUUGAUCAUUUUAGCAUGAUGUAAUUUUAGUAUGAUGUAAUUAUAUUUAUAACCGAAAUCAUAUUUAUGAGGAAAAUGACGAGAGAGGAGACAUGGAUAGUGGUUAGUACUACUUUUCUUUGUCAAGAUGGUUAGAUUAGGAUCCUGCAUGUGCACUCUGUGUCAUAAAUCCUGGGUCAUGUAAUGUACUCAAGAAAUUAAGAAGAGAACUGGGCAGAAAAGGGGAAUUUUAUUACUCAAAAGAAUUCGAAACAACUAAAUCUCAACUGUACGAAUAAAAUAGCUACACUAUAAACUCCAUAGCUAGCCUUGAGCUUCAACAACAGAUUCCCUGUAACGAUGAAUAAGAAUUAAGAAAGGAAGAAGAGAAGAAGAGAUUGAAGAGAGAGAAUUGGAGAUGAAAAAUACCGGUAAAAGUCUAACUGCCCUAGUCUGUUGGAGUAUUUAGUUGAGCUGGAGUAAAUCCAGAGCGUUGAUCUCUUCUAAUCUCCACCGUCCAGAUGCACCGAAUGAACUAACUCAUUAAGCAUCUAUCCUCUCCUACAUACUGACAAUUGCAUUAAUUGAAUGUUAAUCUAUCAGCUUGCUCUGUAGCCCCACUAUCAUGAUACUUACGGUGGGAUUAAGAGUAUGUUUUUUGUGUAUAUUCACUUAGGUAUGAUGUGCAUACAAAAGCAAGCCUAUACAGUUAUUAACUAAUAUGUCUUGGCAGAAGAAUAAUCUUUGGCAGGUAUAGCGCUAGGGUACCCUAUAGGAUGUAUAAAUUAUAGAAAUAGGAUACCAUAAGUAGGGGUGGUCUUGAAUUUUUUUCUACGCUUAACAAAAUCAUUAAAAAAUAACCUUAACUUAGAAAAAUCCACUGGGCAAAACUUCUGUUGCCCAUUAGGCUCUUGCCUCAUAGGCAAAACUAAUUUAUGCCCAAUGGGUAAUAAAAGUUUUGCCCAAUGAAUUUUCUUAUGCGGAGGUCAUUUCAUUAAAAAAAUGUUAGGUGGGGCCAAAAGUUCAAGACCAUCCCUCAUGGGGGUCAUGCUUGCAAAUCACCCCUAUAGGAUGGGGCCUUCUAAUUGAAGUGAUGAUGCUGAAUCUGGAGCUAUUCAUGGGGCCUUCAGGUGGUGCCAUUUUGAGAUUGUAAGAUGAGAAAAGGUGACGCGAGAUGGUUUAGCCAUGCCCUAUAUAGACCUCCACAUGCACCGGUUUGUAAGUGUUCGAUGAUAUGAGGUGAUAAAAGGGAACAAAUAGAACCUAAAAUCAGAUGGAGAGCAGGUGUUUGAGAAGACCUACAAUUUCUCAAAAUUGAUGUUACAAUGGAUGUAGAAAGUUCCAUAUAGGUGAUACCAACUAGUCGGGAUUGGUUGUUAUUAUUAUACUUACAUUAGGUUCAGUGUUUAAUAUCCAAUAGCUUGAAAUGGUAAUAGAGGAUUCAUAGAGCUGAUAAUGUUACAUCUCGAAAAUUUUCGUGUCGUUCGCGUGUAAGUAACUAACACAAGCUUCGAGAGGUCAUGGAACCCUUAUAAGGUUAAGGAAUGCUUUUAAUAAGUUCUAAGUAAGUGUCUAAAGGUUUCGGGAUCAAGUGAAAUGGGGGAAUUAAGUUUGUUAAAAUUUUGAGAAAACUUGGCAGAAUUUCUAACAGAAUUUUUGGUCCAACUCGAGGGAGGUGUGUCUCCUAGAAUGAGGAUUUAUGGAAUGCAUAACCUAUGUAAAUUGAAGUUCAUUGAGUCUAGUUUCCAAUGCAACAAACCGUUCGUCGAUACGACAUCGGAGUAGAAAGUUAUGGACGUUCCAAGAUAGACCGUCAGAAGCUUCUUCGCGAACGCGAGCUAAGGCCUCGUGAACGCGAAGGGAAAUUAUUGAGUCAGUGGAAACCGACCUUCUACCCUAUAAAUAUCGAUCCCCACUCAUUUUUACCUCAUUAUUCCACCUAAAAGGUGUAGAAACUUCAGGGAUCACUCUCCCAACAUUCCAUAUUAUUAAAACCAAAGAAAUCAUAAGGAGGUUAUGUAAACUAGGCUCAGGAAGCUCGUGACAACAUCGUAUUAUUGUGAUUAUGUCACGACCCAAACCCAUGGACCAUGACGAGUGCCCGACCAUUACAGAUCAAGCACCCCUAAGCUCGUUCUUACUCCAUACAAGGUAACCUGGUGGCCCAUUUCAACUGAUAUUCGAUCAAUACCAUCUGCUAUAACAUUUAUACGAUAAACUUUACCUCAGAAUCCCAUAUAUCAUGCAUGUGAAUAUACAUAUAUAUAAAACAAAGAUGGCGAUGCAGACCGACUCGGUCAAUAUUUACACUGUACCCCAAAAGUGAGAAACAACCAAAGCCGCAUGACAUCCCCACUAUACACAACUGUCUACAGAUCUCUAUGGAAUGCAUACUGUAGAAAGGAUAGGACAACGCCUUGCCAUGCCUAUAUAUGUACAUCGCAAGAUAGCAUACCAAAAAGGGGAUGAAGUUCCGGUCCAAAUGGAGCUCGUUGACUGAGACGGAAGAGUGGUCCUACAGGUCUGGCUCACUCGGCUGGCUACCUGAACCUGCGGGUAUGAACGCAGCGUCCACAAAAAAGGACGUCAGUACGAACAAUGUACUGAGUAUGUAAGACAUGAAUGAUAUCAUAGUAGGAGACAUGAAAUAUAGCAUAAAGAAGAGAGAUAACCUGUACAUCCAAUUGCCUCAUAAGGCGGAUACUAUGCAUGCUUAGCUUUCUUUGAAAAACAGUUCUCAUACAUGUAUACAUAAAAUAGAAUUGCUGCAGAACGUGCACCCGAUCCAAAAGCAUAUCAUUUUGCCACGGAACGAACGGCCCGAUCCAUAUAUAUAUAUAUAUAUAUAUAUAUAUAUAUAUAUAUAUAUAUAUAUAUAUAUAGUGCGGAGGAAUGAACCGCCCGAUCCAUUUAACCAUACAUCCCACGUCCGGGCAUCCCGCGUUCGGGACGAUAUCAGAAUAUACCAACUGAUCAGGUGGCUAUGCGUAUAUAAUGCCUCACCUUUCCCCAUAUCCCCUAUAUACAUAUAUAUAUCAUAUACAUAAAUUAUAUAAGUAGCAUGUAUGGGAGCCCAAAUAAAAGUUACCACUUUAUCGGAGUGACGUAAGGUCGGUAACCUCCGAUUUAUCUUAUGGAACAAUCACCAUCGCUACAUCUCACCUUAAAGGAACAAUGAUUAUAAGGUGAGAUCAACAACAAUGAAUAAAAUCGAGAAAAUCAUGAAAUAAGCUCAAUAAUCUCAUAAUAGUAUUAAAAUCAUAAGCUUUGAAAUUUGUAGAAUUAAAAUCAUCAUCGUCAUGUUCAUCAUAGAAAACAUCUCAUCUUUUGUAUCAUAAGAAGCUUUUGAGAAUCAUGAACUUGUAACUUUUGGAAGUAAGAAGGUUAUGAAAAAUAUGUAUGGAAUCAUGCCUUUAGAAAGAAAGGGGCUAGCCUUAACAUACCUUUUGGUCUCCUUAACUACUCAACAUUUAUCCUUCCAAGCUCGUAAAUCUACAUGUAAACCAUUCAUACUAUUGUUAGGCUCAUUGUCACAUGCUUAUCUUAAGCCUUCAAUUUAAAUUCAUUUAGAAUCUGCCGAAAUUUGGGCAGUAUCUUCCCUGUUUAUAUGCCUAUCCCGAAAUCACAAUCCAAUAACUAACAACAAAAACAACAAUACGAACAUCACAACAACAUUAUCAACACCAAUAUGCUCCAUGAAACAUCCCACACGAUGUUUCUUUAGUCUAAUGAUCGAUUUAUUAAUUAUAUGAUAUUCCAAUGGUUUUACUCUCGGAAGUUAAUCCCAAUUCGCAACAACAAUACCAACAUCGUUAUCAACGUCAGAUACAUAUGAAAAUAGCACCAUAAUGUUUUUUAUAAAUCCAUAAAAUCAAUUCCAUAUCACAAUUAUAUUCUAACUUCAAACCAUAAUAUCUUCCAUCUUUCUACGCUAAAGCCUUCCAAAACAAUUCCAAAACAAUAAAUGAAGUAUAGGGUCUUACCUUAGGAUGGAGAAUACACAAAAUCCAAGCAUAGUCUAUGCCCACAAGAUCAAUACAUCUUCAAGAACCAUGAGUUAGUUCCCUUGAUAUACCUUUCUAAAUCUUCAACUAAGAUCCUUAAUUAAUUUGGUUAUGGAAACUUUGUUUGGAGCUCUUGGAAGUUUAUAGUUUUUUCUAGAACUUUGGUGAGCUUCUUCAUCUGAUUUUUGGUGAAACAAAAUAGGGUUUUGCCCCUUUUAUAAGGUUUUAAAUUCGGGUCGGGUCACUGUAGCAGUCACUAUAGAAGCACUGUAGCAGCACUGUAGCAAGUCGAUUGCUGUAGCAGUUACUGUAGCUCACGUUUAUGCUCUAUCGGCCUAAAUUGUAACGUUUAUAAUUUUCUACUCCGAUGCCGUAUCGUCAAGCGGUUUGUUGCGUUGAAAACUAGACUCGACGAACUUCAUUUUAGGCUUUUGAAACAUCUUAAAACUCCUAAUAUACUAGGAGAUAUACCCCUCCAAAGUUGACCCAAAAUUCUGUCAACUUUUUCCAAAUUUUCGACAAACUUAUUUUCUUCAAUUUGCUUGAUCCCGGAAUCUUCCGAAACUCUCCAUACAUGAUAUUUAUCAUUAAUCAUACUUGAUAAUGGUCAUGUCCUUUGGUUACAAGGUUGUCCUUCCCGGUUACGACUUACAAGAUCAUAAUCCAUCCUUUACUUAAAUAAUAUAUUUAAUAAUGCUUCGCUCCUCACAAUCCAAAGUUGUUUUACCUAGCCAUAGCUCGAUAUACUUACAUUCAAAUUUAACCGGUGCUUUUCUGAGGUGUGGGGUGUAACAUCCUCCCCCUUUUAGAAACAUUCGUCCUCGAAUGUUGAGUUCUUAGGGAUUUUUAUAAAAUUUUUGCCAGAGAUUCCCCUGUAAUUGUACCACUACCAUCCUGUCACAACAACCCAAAAUAUGCAAUGCCUCACAGGGCUACAAUAUCAAUACCCAUAUUGGCCACACACUACCAAGAAAUCAUUCAAAGAAGCAUCACAUACCUGAGGAUAAUGGUGUCUCUGGCUGGAGCUCUUUUGUUCUCAUGUACAUAAUAAAAAAUCAACUAGUAUCCCGUUCUCGUUCUGUCUCCGUUAUAGUAAUCUUGCCUUAUUAUGUCACGGCUACUCGCCAUCCUGUGAAUACUUUUUUUUCUCGCUUUUUAUUUCCCUAUUAGUAGAUAACUCCCUUACUCGACUAUGGUACCUUCCCUUGCUUACUCUUUUGGGGCUAUCUUGGAUAUCCCUUCUCAUACUCAUUGAUCCCGUCUAUGCACCAUAUUGUCUUCUUGUAGCUCAUUGGUUAGGCUCUUUGAUCCUUUAUAAUCUCAUCAUAGUUUCACUUAUAAUAACGCUCAGAUGACUUGCAAUAGCAUUUCCUUGCUAAUGAAUCCCUAUUCUUAGUAGUUAGUUACCUUAAAUCAUCUUUUAUAUGCGUGUAUAUAUAUAUAUAUAAUGUUUUCCCACUAUCAUUAUCAUUCCUCAUAGCAGGGUUACACUUAUGAUAAACUAAUAAUCAUCGUUCAAACUAAUCCAUAGCUCAAAAUAUCUUCGAACUCAUAUUGGAACUUUUCCUUUAAUUUCUUCUCCUCAGAUCUUGCAAUGUAAAUUUUUACAGGCAUAGAACUGAGGUAAAAACUCAAUUUGUCAUAACUCCCUUUCAACACGAGGAUGCUCAUCCUCGGUCCUUUUGUACUGGUGACCAUUCGCUUAGCCUUUAUUCUUCUCUGGCUUUCCAUCGUUGCCUCUAUACCAUUUUGUUGGAUAUAACCUCACAUUGAUGGUUCAUAUAGUUCCAUAAUAUACACUUUCAUAUUCGGUAUGGUUAGCGACUCGUGAGAUACUUUCCAAUCUCCGGUAAUACUGCUAUCUUUCUAUUAUAAAACAUCACUCCCCCUCUUUUAGAGAUCGCCAAGCCGCCUAUCAUUAUUCCUUUUGUUGGAUUUUUACUCUUUCCGACACUAAGAUUCCUUUUUGUUGUAACCUAAAGUAUCCUUUAUAUUCAUCAUCCUUUGCACCAUCCUCUCGGUAAUUAACUUGGAGACCGUUUUUACUCUCCUUGUCGCUCUUUUCACUUCUACCUUUGAUGACUAAUAAUUCCCUGGGCUAAUGAAUUAAGGGGACAUCGAAAUUCGUCAGGUCUCUUAUGAAGUGUCCGGCUAUACCCAGCUGCUUUAGCCCUAGUCUUUUCCCCACGACUAUCUUCUUAACACCCUUGAAGUUCUUCUUGCUCUAGGUUCCCAAUUCCAAUUUACGUCUAUAUUAUACCAUUCAAAGUUAAUAUUCCAUACGAUCCAUUCCCACGUGUCAUCCUUUCAUUCGCUUAGCUCAUUUGUCCCGUAAUUCUCCUUAACUACUUGUUUGCAUUAUAGCUAUGCGUCAUAAUUCCAGUGUUCUGCCGCUUCUUGUUCUUAUCAUGAAAUCCUUACAAAGUACACCCUUUUUCUUUUCUCUUUCGUCGAGUCUUCAUCUUCCUUUUUGACACUAUAGUUGGUUCAUAUUUAUGCAUAUCCCCCGUGUAUCGUUCCAUUUUCCUUUAUAAUCGAAUCUUUGUAUUACUUAUCAAGGUUCUUAUCCCAUGUUGCUGAUGUUUUGCCUCUUGGCCAAACUUUUUUACUUAUUAUCCUUUCUCCUGUCCUUGGUGAUUGUUUGAUUUUCUUUAAUCAAUCCAUUAGUGUACUUUUCUUACUUUCAUCCUCAGGACCUCUUCCUUGAGUCCCUUUCCUCUGAAGCACUCUUUUCCACUUGCUAUUUUUAUGGUAUUGUCCCUGAAAUUCAUAAAAUAUCCUUUCCGAAUGCAAAUCCGUUCUAUUGCUAAAUUAUCUUUUUGGAAGGCUUUCCCGUUUUCCGAGGUAAUCAUGUCAGUAUGGUUGCACAUUUACCUCUUCAACUACCCCUCAAGAGCCGAAAAUCCCCUGGCAUUUUUUUUUUGCAAAACCUGCUUAUUUUCUCCCAGUUCAUAUCCUUAUUCGUUGUUACUGCCCUUCAGUCCCACUUACCAGAAUCUGAUUUCGAACCAUUUACAUUCGUCUUCCGUUCCAUGCUACCUAGUUCAUUCUUUCCGUAUACUUACUUUCGAGAUUCAUCCGAAUGGUUCCUUGCCGCUGUACUUACCUUCAAGAUUCCCAUCUUGAGGCUUGAGUUAACCUUUUUUUAGCAACAUACCUCUGUUGCUUACACCUCUCCUUUUCUUUGGGCAUCCUAAUCUUCUUACUCUUGUAUACUCGCUUUCUCCCUUUUCCCUGAUGUGAUUGCAUCAGGAUUAUCCAACUUUAAUUUUAGAGAGACUAAUGUUGCCUCGCCUUAUAACACUUACCACUUGAACUUCAAUACCUUGUUCAAUCAGUACCUUUAACGUCGAUUAUCGGGACACGCAAACUGAUUGACCACACAUAAAAUAUUGUAUAUACCUCUCCUAACACCUUACCUACAAAAUAUUCCCAAUACUAUUUUAAACUCAUCCUAGUUCUGUAGCUAUAAUACGUCUUCUCUCUUUUUGCCAAACCGGUCUGCCUUAUCUCUCACAAUCAUCCGGAGUUUCCAACCGUGAGUUUUACACGCUUCUAAUUUCCCUCAACCUAUUCUAGUCCGUCGUCCUUCUCUUAUGUCCGCACUUGUAGGACUCUUAGUACGCUUCACAGAAGGUCACCCAUCCUAGUAUUACUCUCACCCUAGCACGCUUGACUCUAGAGUCCUGAUGGGAUCCGGUGCGUUAGUGCUGGUAUGAUCGCAUCCACUCUGCUACGUGACCUUUAUCGCAUGACCUAGAACAAGUUGAAGUUUUAACAGAUCCCAAUAAAAUUCAUGUAAUGCAUCUCCCUCCGUAUUGGAAAGAUCCCUUACUUUCCUGACCGAGCAAAUGCUGGUUUAGCCUUCGAAACUCUCAAUAAUAACCAUCGAUCAAUACACGACUGUCUUCUAUUCCUAAAUUUAAGAUUCCCAGUAGUGGCCAAAACAUCUUAGUCGCAGUUAUCCAUAAGUACUUUGGUUAUCGGUUCCUCUAAAACUCCUAUUUGUCACCUAUUAAUGAUAUCCUGCCAUAAUUGUACACACAUAAGAAAUUUCAAUAAAGAACUCAUAUACCUAUAGUCCUCCCGUCCUGAGCUUGGUCUAGUGGGCUAUAAAGUGAAGUGUCCUCUUUAUUGUCCUUCCGCCAUCUGCUAGUUUGGCCCUCCCCAUCUCUCUCAUCUGAGUCCGAGGGAUACGGAUAGUCGGGCAGCUCCUGGUUUACUGACGGCCAAGAUAAUGGGCUAGAAUAAUCAGUAACACUCUCAGGCAUAGCUGGCCUGACAUAGUGCUCUGCCAUAUGAGCAGUUGGGGGAGUCAACUCUAGUACAGUCUCGGAAAUCUCCUCCUCUGGCGUCCCAUAUGAACCCUUAGACGGGUCCGUGUCAUAGCUUUCCUCCGAUGGAUCCUCCUCUCUAGAAGUCAAAAAUUUUGGGGGAAUCGUUACGGGGUCCUCAGAGGGAUCAGUCUCGAUGGUAUAGCUAAGGAUCCUCAUGCUCGGUCCCGGAGCCCGUGGUUCUGAAUCUACUCUAAGGGUAUUCUUAGCACCCCCACUGUCUGAGGCUGAUCUCUUCAUCUUUAUCAUUCUAUUCUUAUCUCUUCAUCUUUAUCAAUCUAUGCUUACCUACAGGAAAAAAGGGUCAGAAAUAAUCUUUCUUAGAAUCUAGCUCUAUCGCACGAUCUAAGAUAGAAGGAAAGGUCAAUGAUUCCUAAAUAUCCUGCAGCCUCCUCUUUAUAAGUGUGGUCGGCUUCACACCCAUAAACAGGACUCUACCGGACACGGUUUGUAGACAAUCCCUUGGACGAACUGCUCUGAUACCACUUUUGUCACUGUCCAUGGGUUUGGGUCGUGACAGAUUAUUGCAAAGCAAGGUGAAAAAUGGCGGGAUCUUGGGUUUGAAGCCAUCAAGGAUCAAUUGGAAGUUAAUAAGGUUUGGGUGAAGGGAAAACAUCGGAAUAAAUGAUUCUUUUGAGUGGCGGCUUGACGAAUAAGGUAACACUGAAGAACAGGUUCGUGACGUGCCGACGGCUUAGGAGAACUUACUACUUCUCGAGUUUGUUCGUGGGGCACCUCUUUAUAAUUUUUCAUUUACUGAGAUCAUUAGGUUGCGUCCCGAGACUUUAGUCAUUCUUUAUUUUGUAGAAGCUCCUUAGAUGGUUGUUGAAAUAUGGGUAGUGUUAUGGAUAUUUUUCCAUGAUUUUUGGGGCAUGUUGCCACGUAUUAUUUAAGUAUGAAUUUAGAUUUCCGUUUUGUUUUAAUGAGCAUGCCUUUAUCUUGGAUAUUUGCAAA